rnacentral:rRNA from 1 species
UACGUAGGGUCCGAGCGUUGUCCGGAGUUACUGGGCGUAAAGCGCGCGCAGGCGGCCCGCGAGGUGUCACGUGAAAGCCCCGGGCUCAACUCGGGAGGGUCGUGGCAAACCGGCGGGCUUGAGGCCGGUAGAGGUAGGUGGAACUCCUGGUGGAGUGGUGAAAUGCGUAGAGAUCAGGAAGAACACCCGUGGCGAAGGCGGCCCACUGGGCCGGUGCUGACGCUGAGGCGCGAAGGCGUGGGGAGCGAACGGG